GACGAACGCUGGCGGCGUGCUUAACACAUGCAAGUCGAGCGGAAAGGCCUCUUCGGGGGUACUCGAGCGGCGAACGGGUGAGUAACACGUGAGCAACCUGCCCUUCACUUUGGGAUAACCAUCGGAAACGGUGGCUAAUACCGGAUACGACGCACCGCCGCAUGGUGUGUGUGGGGAAAGUUUUUCGGUGGGGGAUGGGCUCGCGGCCUAUCAGCUUGUUGGUGGGGUGAUGGCCUACCAAGGCGAUGACGGGUAGCCGGCCUGAGAGGGCGACCGGCCACACUGGGACUGAGACACGGCCCAGACUCCUACGGGAGGCAGCAGUGGGGAAUAUUGCGCAAUGGGCGGAAGCCUGACGCAGCGACGCCGCGUGAGGGAUGACGGCCUUCGGGUUGUAAACCUCUUUCAGCAGGGACGAAGCGAUAGUGACGGUACCUGCAGAAGAAGCACCGGCCAACUACGUGCCAGCCGCCGCCGUAAUAC
rnacentral:rRNA from 1 species